AGUAAUGGGAAAUGUGACUGCAUCUCAACCAAAACCCCGAGUUUUCUGACCCGACACAUGGUCUCAUACCUCUCCCCCCCUAGGACAGAAAAGGGGAGGAGAGAUGAGGGGAAGAGAAAACAUAUGUAGAAAGGAAAAUGGGAAAAUAAGAAAAGUAUGCGACCCGAUAAUUUGGCUUAAGGUAAUACUGGGAUGUCCGAUAGGCUCGGGCGAGUUAGGUUUUUAAGGUUAUCUCGCUACACAUUCCCCAAAGGGUCCGCCGACCCAGUUGGUUAGAUAGAAGGCAGCGGAGGGCACAGGCCGACGCAUGUCUCCGUCAGUAAACCUCACCGUACCAGAGUCACAUAAAAUCUGGAUUGGGUACGAAGGACGGCGAAGUGAGAAUGCACCUCUGCCAGAACCUCCCCCGAGUAGCUGAGGCGCUACCCAGGUCUUCGGCCAGCAAGAUGGAAAAAA